UGAUCUACAGCGUUGGUGUCCGUGCUUGC
rnacentral:piRNA from 1 species